GUACACUCCUGCGGGAGGCAGCAGUGGGGAAUAUUGGACAAUGGGCGCAAGCCUGAUCCAGCCAUGCCGCGUGAGUGAUGAAGGCCCUAGGGUUGUAAAGCUCUUUCACCGGUGAAGAUAAUGACGGUAACCGGAGAAGAAGCCCCGGCUAACUUCGUGCCAGCAGCCGCGGUAAUACGAAGGGGGCUAGCGUUGUUCGGAUUUACUGGGCGUAAAGCGCACGUAGGCGGACUAUUAAGUCAGGGGUGAAAUCCCGGGGCUCAACCCCGGAACUGCCUUUGAUACUGGUAGUCUUGAGUUCGAGAGAGGUGAGUGGAAUUCCGAGUGUAGAGGUGAAAUUCGUAGAUAUUCGGAGGAACACCAGUGGCGAAGGCGGCUCACUGGCUCGAUACUGACGCUGAGGUGCGAAAGCGUGGGGAGCAAACAGGAUUAGAUACCCUAGUAGUCCCAUG
rnacentral:rRNA from 1 species